GGAGCCCCGCGGGGGUGGGGAGGAGAGCAAGAUGGCGGCUGGUGAGUGAUUCUCCCUGAGUUCCUUCAGGGCUGAGGAGACGCCGGGGCGGGGGUCCCGCUCGUGCUGCCUGCUGGCCUCCUCUCCCCCGCCCCCGGAGGCCUCUUCCUUUCCUCCCUCCACCUUGGGGGCGGGCCAGCAUCCUCGGACACCAUGUCAGACUCUGAGGAGGAGAGCCAGGACCGGCAACUGAAAAUCGUCGUGCUGGGGGACGGCACCUCCGGGAAGACCUCCUUAGCUACGUGUUUUGCUCAAGAGACUUUUGGGAAACAGUACAAGCAGACUGUAGGACUGGAUUUCUUUUUGAGAAGGAUUACCUUACCAGGAAAUCUGAAUGUUACCCUUCAAGUUUGGGAUAUAGGAGGGCAGACAAUAGGUGGCAAGAUGUUGGAUAAAUACAUCUAUGGAGCACAGGGAAUCCUCUUGGUAUAUGAUAUUACAAAUUAUCAAAGCUUUGAGAAUUUAGAAGAUUGGUAUUCUGUGGUGAAGACAGUGAGUGAAGAGUCAGAAACUCAGCCCCUGGUUGCUUUGGUGGGCAAUAAAAUUGACUUGGAGCAUAUGCGAACAGUAAAACCUGAUAAACACUUACGAUUUUGCCAGGAGAAUGGUUUUAGUAGCCACUUUGUUUCAGCCAAGACAGGAGACUCAGUCUUCCUGUGUUUUCAGAAAGUUGCUGCAGAAAUCCUGGGAAUCAAAUUAAACAAAGCAGAAAUAGAACAGUCACAGAGGGUGGUGAAGGCAGAUAUUGUAAACUACAACCAGGAGCCCAUGUCAAGAACUGUUAACCCACCUCGGAGUUCCAUGUGUGCAGUUCAGUGAGCACACACUGUAUUAAUAGUUUUGGCUGUUCUUCCCCAGGACUGAGCCCAGGCUGUGUAGGAACAUGUUUUUAUCAGUGACCAUUUCUGUAGUCAAUUCACACUUUCCUCCUGCUCCACUCCUUCAUCCUUAAGUUGCCCCACAAUAGUGGGUAGCUCCCUGGUCUGGAAGGAAUUCAGCUUCGGGACCACACAUUUUGAAAUCUGAAUCGAGAGUCAAUUCUUUGGACUGAGACCACCUCUUCACUCCAGAAGAACCACAUUGCUUCUUUACGUCCUCACUACUUUUUUCCUAAAUGUAAAAAGUUUAACCAGAUGUGAAGAUGCUCCAAGCUUUGACCAUCAUUUUCUAUCUGAACUCAUGGAUGUGAAAGUGUACUUCAGAGCACUGAUGGUGAAACAGUUACUCAAGAAAGUGUUCCUUUGCUGGCUAUUAAGAGUAAAAUAUACAAAGCUGCAUUUAAUGGAAAGGAUUACCAUGACAAAUGCCUUUUAUUCGCUUCGUUAAGCACUUGGGUGAAUGUGUGAACACACAGAGCUUCAUAAGUCACAAGGAAAUGAAACAACAUAGUCUUCUGGAAAUAGUUUGAGAGCCUGACAGACUAUGACUAGCAUCUGGCUCUUCCACUUAGGAACUACAUCACUCUUGCAAAUACUUCAGCCUAAAUCUCACCAGGACAUCUCCUUUGCUAAAUGGAACCAACUGGAGUUGUCUUGAUGGUUGAAAGCCAGGAAGCAGGCCAACCUCCCAAAUGAGGACCAAAGCCUCAGAACACAGGCGUGACAGUCCUGCUCUGGACAGGAGUCUGAGCCCUGGUGCGGCUCUGCUGGGGGUGUGGCUUUGGACCGCAGGGCUUGAGACUGCUGUCCGACAGCCAGACUGCCUGAUAUUAACCAUCAGGUGGGAAAAAGCAAUUACAUUUGCACAAGCUGGAGAUCCGCUCGUCCCAUUCUCCCUCCCUGCAGGCUAUGUCAAAACACGAGGGCAGGAUCCUGCUUCUUCUCACAUUUUAAAAACAUACAGUGGACUUAUGUUUACAGUACCACGAAGGGAUAUGACGCGGAACAGCAGAGCGCGCCACCCCUGCAAAGAGCCACCCUGUGCUGCCCGAGGCUCUCUCCACAACAGACCACAACACGGUUGUUGGGCGCCAACUCAGAGAGCAAGUCUCGCCAGGGAUGUCUCUGAGUUUCAGUACUUAAACAAUGUUACACGCUGUGCAAACAAACAGCACCAACCAAGAUCUGACCUUGGAUCUGAGCCUGGUCUGUCUGGGUCGCUCAGCCUGGGACUUUUGCAGCGGGGAAAACAGAUUAGCAUCAGAAUUCCACUUCCCAGACCACGCUUUUUUGCCUCUGCAGGACUAUAGGUGGGCUCUUUAGUCAUCCCAGCU